CCACCAAGGCGACGAUCGGUAGCCGGCCUGAGAGGGUGAUCGGCCACAUUGGGACUGAGAUACGGCCCAGACUCCUACGGGAGGCAGCAGUAGGGAAUAUUGCACAAUGGGGGAAACCCUGAUGCAGCAACGCCACGUGUGGGAAGAAGCAUUUCGGUGUGUAAACCACUGUCAUGAGGGAAUAAGGCCCGUUUUCGGACGGGAUUGAAUGUACCUUGAAAGGAAGCACCGGCAAACUUCGUGCCAGCAGCCGCGGUAAUACGAGGGGUGCAAGCGUUGUUCGGAAUUACUGGGCGUAAAGGGAGCGUAGGCGGAGAUUCAAGCGGAUUGUACAAUCCCGGGGCCCAACCCCGGCUCUGCAGUCCGAACUGGAUCUCUU
rnacentral:rRNA from 1 species